rnacentral:lncRNA from 1 species
AAAUUAAUUUGUUUAUUAAAGAAGCAAAAUUAUUAUUUUAUAAUAAAAAUAUUAAUAUAAGUGACAUUAACAUUUAUGUUACGACUAUAAUAGAAGAAAAAAAAUAUGUUGGUAAAUUAAAAAAACUAAGUUUUCGGACUUUACCCAUGAAUAAUUUAACUUUCAAUGAAUGUGUUAAUCACAAUAUAAAAGAUAUAUUUUCAGACAUCGUUAUAAAUAUAAAAUAUAAAUAUAAAAAAAAAGAUAAAGAAGAAAUACAACUGGGUCGAGCCAUUAUACCUUUAUUUUUACUUUUAAAUACAUAUAAAUAUAAAAUGAAAAAAAUAAAAAAUAAAAUAAGAUAUUAUAUUAAAUGUUUUCUAUGGUUACAUAUUUUCCCCAGUAAUAACAAAUUAUUUAAUUAUAAAUUUUUUAAACCGAUUGAAGGUUUUGAACAUUAUGGUAUGUCAAAUCCCAUAUAUACAUUAGGUUUUAUAAGUGUUAAAAUUAAUAUUAUUUUUAAACAUAACCCAAUAUUUUUAAUUUUUCUUAGUAAUAUAAGAAAACCAAUAUUUUAUUAUAAACUACCAUCACAAUUUGAACCUUUAUAUUGUCAGUAUCAAAGUGAUAAUUUUUUUUAUUAUGCUACACAUUUACCUCUAUGGAUGUAUAAAUUUUUUUAUUUAUUUAACAUCAACAGAAUUGAGCCUAUUUUAUUAAAUAAUUAUGAUUACUUAUUUAUUAUUUUAUUUUGGUUAUUUUUUUAUCGACUAAUUGUAUUAUCACCUUUUUUUCAAAUUUAUGUCCAUUUAUUUUUCUGCAUCUUUUUUAUAUCUUUGUCGUAUAAAUUUGGCAUAUACCCACAAAAGAGGUUCAUAAAAUAUACUUUUAGGCCUUACCAAAUGAAAAAAAAUAUAAAAAUAAAUUAUGAUCAAAUCGCCCCAUUGGGGUCAAAACGACCGAAUGUAACAACAGUUACUACCAACAAAAAUAAUCAGCAUGAAUGCGUAAAUACUAAUAAUAAAAAAUUGUCAUUUACUUACGAUUUACAGUCUCAUUAUAAUAAUAGUAGAGAAAUACCAGUUGACAAACUGAAUGAAAAAGAAGAACAUAAACAAGGACACCCAUCAGAACAUAAGCAAGGGCACCCAUCAGAACAUAAGCAAGGGCACCCAUCAGAACAUAAGCAAGGGCACCCAUCAGAACAUAAGCAAGGGCACACAUCAGAACAUAAACAAAAAGAAGAACCUGCGUUAGUUUCAUCCCAAACAAAUUUUAAUGUUAGUAUAAAUGGUCAAAUGACUCAUACAACACAUUUAAAAAAUAAACAAGAAGAAAGCUUAUCAAAUGCAACACCAAAUAACGCAAACACAAAAGUGUGCACAAAUAACAGUACCAAAAAAAAUAUGUUUUCAAGUAAUGGUUUAAACAUUUAUGAUAAAUAUAAAUCAUUUUUUUCUAAUAGUAUUAACAACGUUAAAGACUCUGUGUGUGAUAAGAAAACACAAAUGAACACGGAAAAUGAUUAUAGUAACAGCCGUAAUAGUAAUAGUACAAUCAUCAAUAUUAAUCAUAACAAUUCCGUUGCAGUUAAUAAUAAAAAAAUUUUAGAUAAUCAACUUUCAACAAAUACUAAUGGACAACUAUGCCUUGAUAAGGAUCGCUUUGACAAAGAGAAGCACAUCGAGAGAGAAAACGAAGAUAAUAAAAAUUUAUUAAAUGAAAAAAAGAACGAGAAAACGGAAACCAAUUGCAAACGUAGUAUUAGUAGUAAUAGUAAUAGUAGUAGUAAUAGUAAUAAUAGUAGUAGUAGUAGUAGUAGUAGUAGUAAUAAUAGUAGUAAUAGUAAAGGUGGUAAAGACGACCUUAGGAAGGAUGAAAAGGGUGAGGAUGACCAUAUUAAAGACAACCAUAACCCAAAAAAUUUAACAUGCAAUACCAAUCACAAAUUUAAUAAUGUAACAAAAUUUGCAAACAAAGUAAAAAACAUUAUGUUCGAUGCUAAAGAAAAAACAAAACUAGAUAAUUUAGAUUGGAAUAAAAACGUCUUGGGUUUUAUAAACUUAUUUAAUAUGAAAGAUAAAAAUAAAGAAAAAGAUGAAGACACAAAUGGAAGUGCUUAUUAUGAACAAUUAGAACAAGAAUAUACGACAGAUAUUAAUAAAAACCAGUUAAACUUACAACAGGAAGUUAUACAUAGCGAUGUACACAAUGACUUGUUAAAGGAUACAUCGAGCAACGUAACAAUAAAUACAUUGGACGUGUCAAAUAACAAAUAUAAUGAAUCAAAUACAAACUGUGAUAAAAAUAAUAUAAUUAAAAAAUAUAGCAAAGAAAAAUAUAAAAACAUUGUAAUUAUGAAUUCUAAUUAUAAUAAUAUAGAUGAAAACUGUUUUGACUAUAACAUGAAUGUACAUGAUAAAAACGGCAUUGGCAAUAGCAAUUUUAUGCACAAUACAAAUAGGUUAUGUGACACAUACAAUUCAGAAAUUAAAGACGCAUGUGAUAAGAGCGAUGUAUGUGCUGGCACCAACAUCCUCGAUGGUAAUCACACUGCAAUUCCUAACGCUAUUAAAGAAUAUUCACACUCGAACAAUUUUUUAGAAACUAAAACAGUAAAGAAAAAAUUAAAUAUGGAAUCAUUUAAAAAUAAUUUAUUUUCUUUUAGUGAAACUAAAAAUAAUGUAUUAGAUGCAAAAAAAGCAACAAUUUUAAUGCCAAUAGUUAAAUCUCCUUUUCAUAAUUUUCAUUUAUGUAUUGACACAAUACAAAGUGAAAAGGUAUCUAUAUUUUCCAAUACAGUUAAAUUACCAAAUAUGUAUACACUACUUAAUAGGUUUAUGUUAUGUUUAAACAUGAUUCAAACAUUAGUUGGUACUUUUACCAUGAUAUAUGAAAAAGUAAAUUAUGCUUUUAAUUGGGAUUUUGAUUUCUACACACUUAUAAAUUUAAUAAUUCUUUUUUUAAUAUGUUAUAUUUUAUCUUUUUUAUUUUAUUUAUUAUCCCUAGUUCCACUAGUUUUUUAUCGUUUUAUUUUAUUUUUUGUUGUAUCAUAUCUAAUUAUUAAAAGUUAUGAAUACACAGAAGGUUAUACCCAUAAUUUGAGUUUGAUAAAAGAAAAGCGAGCUCAAGCAGGUCACAAGAUGGCUCUAAAGUGCCAUAAUAAUAGAAGUGAUCAUACCACCAGUAGUAGUAGUAGUAGCAGUAGUAGUAGUAGCAGUAGUAGUAGUAGUAGUACUAGUAGUAUAAGUCGGAGCAGUAGUAGUAGUAGUCAUCGUAAACACGUUUAUCAUGUUAUCAACCCCGAAUGUUAUAAAAAAAACGUAAGACACAAUAUUAUAUACAAAUAUAAUAAACUACUGGUGAUGAAACUAAAAGAUAUUAUAAAAAACAAACAAAAACGAAGUAAGAGCUAUAAAUAUUUUCAAUCAUUUGUUAAAAAGAUUUUGAAAUAUUAUAUUUGUAUUUAUAAUUUAAUUAUUCAAAUACCUUUAUACAUAUCCUUUGUUUUCUUUUUUUUGAAAAAUUGGAUUUUACGUUUAUUAAUACUGAAAGAUAUAGAACACAUGGAAAUAGCAAGGUUACAAGCAUUUAAAAAUUUAUAUUUUUUUAUACAUAAUCGUAUGAUGAAAAAGAAGCAGGCAUAUGACAAUAAAAAUAAAAGUGCGUCUGAUACUUAUACAGAUCAUACUAAUAACAAAAACAAGAACAAAGAUAUUAUUAUUAAUGGUCAUACGGCUAAUUAUACCAAUGGUAAAAGAAACAGCAAAGGCAGCACUAAUAAUGAUAAUGACAGCGAUUAUCAUAAAAACCGUAAAAACGAUAAUAUUAACAUUAACAAUAGCAUUAUAAAUAAGAAUAACAAUAAUAAUAAUAACAAUAGUAAUAAUAAUAAUAAUAAUAAUAAUAAUAAUAAUAAUAAUAGUAACAUGAUUGAACAAAACACUCCCUUUGAUCUUAACAACAAUAAAAUUGACGCCACAAACAAAAGAAAAUACAAAGGAUUAAGUGAUAACAAAUAUACGUUUACAAAAUACAAAAAUAAAAACAAAUUCACUACUCUUAUGUAUGACCAUUAUAAAACUGCCGGGACUCAUAUUUAUUCUAGUGAUAAAGAAGACUUAGAUACAAUGGAUUCAUAUUUAGAUGAACAAACAGAUUCUGAAAAUUUAUCAUUAAGUCAAAUGACAGAUAAUGGAAAUAUGAAUGUCAGUGUUGAUAUUUUUUUACAUUACUAUUUUAAAAAAAAAAAAUACGACUUGUUUAAUAACUUUAUAAACCUUAAUAGAAACCAUAUGUAUAUGUACAAAAAUAUAAACUUACUUAGCAACAGUGAAGAACAAGCAAUUAAUAGUCUCAAUUAUGAUGACAAUUUUAAUAUUGAAAAUAAUUAUUCAAGUUCUUACGAUACUAAUAAAAGCGAGAUAACAUAAAAGGUUAAAAAAAAUAUAGAUGAGUUCAGUUCAGUUGCGCCGGGCUGGACUUGUAUAUACUAUG